rnacentral:rRNA from 1 species
GCCUUCGGGUUGUAAACCUCUUUCAGUAGGGAAGAAGCGAAAGUGACGGUACCUGCAGAAGAAGCGCCGGCUAACUACGUGCCAGCAGCCGCGGUAAUACGUAGGGCGCAAGCGUUAUCCGGAAUUAUUGGGCGUAAAGAGCUCGUAGGCGGUUUGUCGCGUCUGCCGUGAAAGUCCGGGGCUCAACUCCGGAUCUGCGGUGGGUACGGGCAGACUAGAGUGAUGUAGGGGAGACUGGAAUUCCUGGUGUAGCGGUGAAAUGCGCAGAUAUCAGGAGGAACACCGAUGGCGAAGGCAGGUCUCUGGGCAUUAACUGACGCUGAGGAGCGAAAGCAUGGGGAGCGAACAGGAUUAGAUACCCUGGUAGUCCAUGCCGUAAACGUUGGGCACUAGGUGUGGGGGACAUUCCACGUUUUCCGCGCCGUAGCUAACGCAUUAAGUGCCCCGCCUGGGGAGUACGGCCGCAAGGCUAAAACUCAAAGGAAUUGACGGGGGCCCGCACAAGCGGCGGAGCAUGCGGAUUAAUUCGAUGCAACGCGAAGAACCUUACCAAGGCUUGACAUGAACCGGACCGCCGCAGAAAUGUGGUUUCCCCUUUGGGGUCGGUUUACAGGUGGUGCAUGGUUGUCGUCAGCUCGUGUCGUGAGAUGUUGGGUUAAGUCCCGCAACGAGCGCAACCCUCGUUCUAUGUUGCCAGCACG